rnacentral:rRNA from 1 species
ACCAUUAAGCGCACCCUGGGAAUGCCCAAUUUCAUCCAAUCUCUGAAGCUAAACAGGGCUGGCCCUGGUUAGUGCUUGGAUGGGAGAACAGGUGCCACAGUGGGGCAGCAGGGUGGUU